ACCAGACGCCGCCAUUUUGUGAGGUAUCCCGAGGGGCGGCACGUUCCCCACAAAAGAGAAAUAAGGACUGUGAUCAAAUGUGGUUAAUAUGUGAAGCUUCAAAGGCUAAAGAAGAAAAUGAGAUCAAUACUGAGGGGCCUAUAAAAGUUCUACUCCAAGGGAAGAGGUCAGAGGGAAAAGUCAGCAAUCUGCAACCUCAAAGGGGAUUUUCACCAGCCACAUAACCUGCUGGCAUCCUAAAUCUUGGACUUUCCAGUUUCCAGAAUUGUGAGAAAUACUGUUCUUUAUAAGCUACCCAGUGUGUGGUAUUUUUCUUAUAGCAGCAGAAACAGAGUAAGACACUGAAUAGUCAUCAAAAAAAUUGGAAAAGUUACUAAUAUUGCCUACGUUUAUUAAAUGGUACAGAUUGACACAGAUUUUAUUGUAAUUAGGUGAAUUUCUAACUGUGUGAUAAUAUGGAAAGAAUUUAAAAUAUAUAUGUUCAGUGGCAUAAUAAAGGUCUAUGAUC